rnacentral:rRNA from 1 species
GACGAACGCUGGCGGCGUGCUUAACACAUGCAAGUCGAACGGAGUGGCGAACGGGUGAGUAACACGUGGGUGACCUGCCCUGCACUUUGGGAUAAGCCUGGGCAACUGGGUCUAAUACCGGCUAGUGUGGGAUGGGCUCGCGGCCCAUCAGCUUGUUGGUGGGGUAAAGGCCUACCAAGGAGGCGACGGGUAGCCGGCCUGGGAGGGUGGACGGCCACAAUAGACCUAAGCCACGGCCCAGUCUCCAACCGGGGACAGCCGUGGGGAUUAUUGCACAGUAGUGGGAAGUGUGAUGCAGCGGCGCCGCGUGGGGGAUGACGGGCUUCGGGAUGUGAACUCCUUUCCCCAUCGACGCGGUAGAUAGAGAAGAAGCAAUGGCUAACUACGUGCCAGCAGCCGCGGUAAUAC